UGUGUUCUUUUUAUUUUGUUAUUUAUAUAUGAUCUAUUUUUUUAUUUAUGUGAGAAAUUUGCACAUGUAUUAUUUGGGGAUAUAUAUAUGCACAUGGCGGUCGAACUAUUAAUUAUCAGAGAAUUCUUCCCCUAAGAACAAGAUGGUAAAUACCAAAAAGUAUAUAUUUUUGAUAAACAAAUACCAAAAAAAUUUAUUAUUAUAGGAACCGUAUGUUUGUUCAUAUAUUAAUACAGAGACAUAUUUUUUAUUUAUAAUAUAUACUAGGUUCUAUAUUUAUUUUCUUCGGAGGAUAUUG
rnacentral:lncRNA from 1 species